GCACCCGUGGCCAAACUGGAUUGAAGGCAUCGGCCUACGAAGCCGGGGAUUGCAGGUUCGAAUCCUGCCGGGUGCGCCA
rnacentral:tRNA from 2 species